AUUGAACGCUGGCGGCAGGCCUAACACAUGCAAGUCGAGCGGAGCGGCGGACGGGCGAGUAAUGCAUAGGAAGGGGCCUGGGAGUGGGGGAUAACGACCGGAAACGGGCGCUAAUACAGCACACUAGCAGAUGAGCCUAGGUCGGAGUAGCUAGUUGGUGGGGUAAAGGCCGACCAAGGCGACGAACCGUAACUGGUCUUAGAGGAUGAUCAGUCAAACUGGAACUGAGACACGGUCCAGACUCCUACGGGAGGCAGCAGUGGGUAAUAUUGGACAAUGGGCUAAAGCCUGAUCCAGCCAUGCCGCGUGUGUGAAGAAGGUCUUCGGAUUGUAAAGCACUUUAAGUUGGGAGGCGUUACCAACAGAAUAAGCACCGGCUAACUUCGUGCCAGCAGCCGCGGUAAUAC
rnacentral:rRNA from 1 species